rnacentral:misc_RNA from 1 species
GGAAGUAAAAGUCGUAACAAGAUUUCCGUAGGUGAACCUGCGGAAGGAUCAUUAAAGUUAUAGUCCCCUGGCCCUCUGGGCUGGGGUCUUCUAUACCACCCUUUGUUUAUUACACCUUUGUUGCUUUGGCAGGCCUGCCCUCGGGCUGCUGGCUCCGGCCGGCUCGCGUCUGCCAGAGGACCUAAACUCUGUUUGUAUAUGAAGUCUGAGUACUAUAUAAUAGUUAAAACUUUCAACAACGGAUCUCUUGGUUCUG